rnacentral:rRNA from 1 species
GACGAACGCUGGCGGCGUGCCUAAUACAUGCAAGUCGAGCGCAGGAAGCAGCUAGAUCCCUUCGGGGUGAAAGCUGUGGAAUGAGCGGCGGACGGGUGAGUAACACGUGGGCAACCUGCCUUGCAGACUGGGAUAACUCCGGGAAACCGGAGCUAAUACCGGAUAAUCAACGGGGUCGCAUGAUCCUGUUGUAAAAGUGGGGAUUUAUUCCUCACACUGGAAGAUGGGCCCGCGGCGCAUUAGCUAGUUGGUAAGGUAAGAGCUUACCAAGGCGACGAUGCGUAGCCGACCUGAGAGGGUGAUCGGCCACACUGGAACUGAGACACGGUCCAGACUCCUACGGGAGGCAGCAGUAGGGAAUCAUCCGCAAUGGACGAAAGUCUGACGGUGCAACGCCGCGUGAACGAUGAAGGUUUUCGGAUCGUAAAGUUCUGUUAUGAGGGAAGAACAAGUGCCGUUCUAAUAGGGCGGCACCUUGACGGUACCUCACGAGAAAGCCCCGGCUAACUACGUGCCAGCAGCCGCGGUAAUACGUAGGGGGCAAGCGUUGUCCGGAAUUAUUGGGCGUAAAGCGCGCGCAGGCGGUCUCUUAAGUCUGAUGUGAAAGCCCACGGCUCAACCGUGGAGGGUCAUUGGAAACUGGGGGACUUGAGUGUAGGAGAGGAAAGUGGAAUUCCACGUGUAGCGGUGAAAUGCGUAGAUAUGUGGAGGAACACCAGUGGCGAAGGCGACUUUCUGGCCUACAAC